UGGGUUUGGUUGUUGGGAGUGCUGAAUAUAAAGUCAUCAUUUGCACCUCCUCAUUUCAAAUACAGUAUCAUUUCAAAUGCUUUUUUACCAUGUUCCUUGCCUGUCUCAGCAAUAGAAUGGGAAACUUCAGGGUCAGUGUGAACUAUUACCUGGUAGCCUCUCAUCUUGGCAGUCCAUAUAAUUCCCAAAAUAGGAAUAUUUCUACCACAGGUGACAUUCAUUUUCAUUUGCCUUUUGCAUGCAGUCCUUCAGUCUCCUUAACUUUAGGGUAGUAAACCUGCUAGAUCUCCAUCUUUGUCUUCACUACUUUGGUUAGUGAAGAUAGGUGUCUAAAUGCCUAGUAAUCAUUAAUGGCACCAGCCUGAGAGCUCUGAUCAUACUGUUUGUCUUUGUUUCUAGGCCUGUAAGUCAGUGAAGCGUCUUUCCCUAUUGUUUUGUAUUCUCAUUAUGGACUCAUUGAAUAGAGAUUGAGAAAGCAUAUGGUUUAUGGCAAGUGGGUUUUUUUCCUACCACAGUACCUUCCCUUUUUGUCAUAAUUAGAAAUGAGACAGAAAGUGGCAACAUGUGUUUAGAAAGACAUUGAUUACAUUCACUCUCUGGAUUAAGUUAGAAAUGCAUAUCAACUAUUUCAAAACAUUCUGAAUCACUUUAGUAUUCAAGCUUGGGUGACAGCAGAUUUGCCAAGUAGACUCCAUGUAUAUUAAAAAACUCAUCGAUUGCAUGUUGCUUUGAUUUAUAAUUAAACUAAACAGACACGAUCUUUUCCUUCUCAGAAAAAUGUGUUCUUAUCACAAAACACACUCAACUCUGCCCCUAGCUUGCACUUCUCCAGAUGUGUUCUUUCAAACGGUGAAUGUCCUAACCAGUGCCAUCCUCCUCCCUGGUCAGCUUUUAUGACAGCAUGGGGAUUAAAAAUAUAUGGACUUAAAAAUGACUAACUCAGAAAGAAGUAGCUAGCAACCUUGAAAACCUUAGGCAGCUAUACCUAAGCUAGAUCAUAUUAACUUUCCUUUUGGUGCAAACUUCUUUUAGUGGGGAGAGGUAAAAACUUCACUGCUUACAUUUGAUUUCUAGAGAAGUUGUUCUACCAGUUCUUAUGUGGUGUUCUUUUAAGCCAGAUAGUAAAGCAGCUAAUUCAAGCCUUACUACGUUUACCUGGUCUAAUUACAUUUGACUUUUCAGUUACCGACUAGAGUUCAAUAAGUAACAUUUCAUGAGAGGACUUGGAGGGCAGUAUAUUAUAGAAAUAGGGUUUUAUACUUUGUCAUUACAGGUUUAUUAUAAUUAAACAUAAAAUUAGAAGGUAAGUUGCCUUCCCAAAGAGCCAAAUUUAGUACUCGCUGCAUUUCCUGUCUCUUGUAGCAUCUUGGAUAACUGAAACACUAUGAAAAUGUAAGAAAUUAUCAUCCUGACCAUUCUUAUUAUUAUUCUAAUUGCCACACCCUCUCUUAUUUUUAGUGUAAGGAGGUGGGGAACCUUAUUUCCAUCCAAGACUGUGACACAGAGAAAUAUCCAAAAGGUGUUGCAAGUAAAGAUCAGCUUGGUAGGGGGAAGAAUAUUUUUGAAAGGAAAAACAAAAAUUAUUCCAGGAGAAAAACAAAUCUCUCCAAUUCCAGGGUAAGGAGUUCAGGAGUUAACAGCCAGUGCCUAGCUCUGCUAAAGCAGGCUUGCUUCCCCUACCACAGACACAGUCGUCCAUAAUCACAACAUUAGGAAUCCCUCCCCUUGCUUACCCUUAGGCACCCUGAAUCCUUGUUACAACUAUCACCAUUAUUCUCUCCACUAUUUACCAUUCAGAUCUUCCCAUCAGAGUUCACUGCCCAGUUUCUGUUUGAUGUGGGAGUGAUACCUCAAGGACUCAAGAGUGUAGACAUCUGCUUUUUUUCCCUUCUGUUCCCAAAAGUACAGUGGAUUAUAACAUCAGAGAAUGUUAGUAGGUGUAGUCAGGUUUAAUUAGAUUAUGCCAAGAAUCAUCUAGUCUAUGAGCUAGAGAGUCCAUCAAUCAUAUCUUCUAUAACUAUAAUUCAAGAGGAAUUGGCCAUCUUCCUAGCCUUGUCAUCCCCCAGCAUGCUAAGUAGUUUCCUUGGAUAACAGCAAUGGGCCUGAGUCACAUAAGAGAAUGAGAAAAUAUAAUGUUCAAAAGGGUAUGAGGGGUGAAGGAAAAAGGUUCCCCAAAGGAGGAAUAAGUGGUCAGGUGCCCAAUAACAAAUACCACAGGUUGCUAAACUCUCAUCUAACAUAAAAAGAAAUAUACAGUUGACCCUUGAACAACAUGGGCAUUAGAGGUACCAAGCCCCUGCUCAUUUGAAAAUCCAUGUAUAACUUACAGCUCCUCAAAAACUUUCCCACUAGUAGCCUACUCUUUACUAGAAGUCUUACUGAUAACCUGAACAGUCCAUUAAUACAUAUUUUGUGUUAUGUAUUAUAUAUUCUUAAAGUAAGGUAGAGAAAAAAAUGUUAAAGAAAUUAUAAGGAAAAUAGAUUUAUAGUACUGUACAUAUUUAUUUUAAAAAUUUACAUAUAAGUAGACCUGCACAGUUCAAACCAGUGUUGUUCAAGGGUCUGCUGUAAUAGUGUAAAAUUUCACCUCUUUCCUGAUACCUGCUUGAGAUGUUUACUUGUAGCAUGAAACGUUAUUUAUUCUUAAAUGCUUUCAGAGGCACCAGGAAGCAUUUUAACAAGUCAUCCUGUUCAUUAAGAUGAAUUCUGCAGUUAAACAUUUCCCCUUGUGCAUUCUUGUCCCCCCCACCCCC